rnacentral:rRNA from 1 species
CCAAAAACUCUCAACGGAUAUCUCGGCUCUCGAUCGAUGAAGAACGUAGCGAAAUGCGAUACUUGGUGUGAAUUGCAAAAUCUCAUGAACCAUCGAGUCUUUGAACGCAAGUUGCGCCUGAAGUCAUCAGGCCAAGGGCACGUCUGCCUGGGCAUCACGUAUCGC